GACGAACGCUGGCGGCGUGCUUAACACAUGCAAGUCGAACGGUGAAAGUGGAGCUUGCUCCGCUGGAUCAGUGGCGAACGGGUGAGUAACACGUGGGCAACCUGCCCCUGACUUCGGGAUAACUCCUCGAAAGGGGUGCUAAUACCGGAUACGAAUCCUGCAGGCAUCUGCGGGAUUGGAAAGUUUUUCGAUCAGGGAUGGGCCCGCGGCUUAUCAGCUUGUUGGUGAGGUAGUGGCUCACCAAGGCGACGACGGGUAGCCGGCCUGAGAGGGCGGCCGGCCACACUGGGACUGAGACACGGCCCAGACUCCUACGGGAGGCAGCAGUGGGGAAUAUUGCGCAAUGGGCGAAAGCCUGACGCAGCAACGCCGCGUGAGGGAUGACGGCCUUCGGGCUGUAAACCUCUUUCAGCAGGGAAGAAGCGAAAGUGACGGUACCUGCAGAAGAAGCACCGGCUAACUACGUGCCAGCCGCCGCCGUAA
rnacentral:rRNA from 1 species